CCUACGGGGGGCUGCAGUAGGGAAUAUUGCUCAAUGGGGGAAACCCUGAAGCAGCAAAGCCGCGUGGAGGAGGAAGGUUUUCGGAUUGUACACCCCUUUUUUUAGAGAAGAUAAUGACGGUAUCUAUCGAAUAAUAACCGGCUAACGCAGUGACAGCAGCCGCGGAAACACGGAGGGAGCAAGCGUUACUCGGAAGCACUUGGCGUAAAGAGCGCGUAGGGGGGAUAGAAGGUCAGAUGUGAAUACCUUUGGCUUAACCAUAGAACUGCCGUUGAAACUGUUAUUCGAGAGUAUGGGAGAGGUAUGUGGAAUGCUUGGUGUAGGGGUGAAAUGCGUAGAGAUCACGAAGAAUACUCAUUGCGAAGGCAGCCUGCUGGAACCUCACUGACGCUGAUGCACGAAAGCGUGGGGAGCGAACAGGAUUAGAUACCCCAGUAGUC
rnacentral:rRNA from 1 species